rnacentral:rRNA from 1 species
UGCCCCCUGAUAUAAUUAAUUAAAGGGCUGCAGUAAUUUGACUGUACAAAGGUAGCAUAAUCAUUAGUCAUUUAAUUGAUGACUUGUAUGAAAGAUUGGAUGAAAUAUAAUCUGUCUUUUAUUUAUAUUUAGAAUUUAAUUUUUUAAUUAAAAAGUUAAAAUAAUUUAAAAAGACGAGAAGACCCUAUAGAGUUUUAUAAAUAAAUUAAUUAAAAUUAUUAAAAAUUAAAUAGGUUAAAAUUAAUUUAUUUAUUUUAUUGGGGUGAUAAAAAAAUAUAUUAACUUUUUUUUUAAGAAUACAUAUAUAAGUGAAUAUUUGAUCCUUUAUUAUUGAUUAUAAGAAAAAAUUACCUUAGGGAUAACAGCGUAAUUUUUUUUUUUAGUUCAUAUAAAAAAAAGAGUUUGCGACCUCGAUGUUGGAUUAAGAUAAAAUUUAAAUGCAGAAGUUUAAAGUUUUUGA